GAUGAACGCUGACAGAAUGCUUAACACAUGCAAGUCGAUGGGGAAGUGGUGCUUGCACCAUGGUAACCAUGGCGGACGGGUGAGUAACGCGUAAGGAACUUACCUGCGGGACCGGGAUAACAGCAGGAAACUGCUGACAAGACCGGAUAAGGUCAUUAAGCUGCAUAGCUUAGUGAUGAAAGGAGACGCCUGCGGAGAGCCUUGCGUCCUAUUAGCUAGUUGGAGGGGUAACGGCCCACCAAGGCGAAGAUAGGUAGCCGGCCUGAGAGGGUGGACGGCCACAAGGGGACUGAGAUACGGCCCUUACUCCUACGGGAGGCAGCAGUGGGGAAUAUUGGACAAUGGGGGCAACCCUGAUCCAGCAAUUCUGUGUGCACGAAGACGGUUUUCGGAUUGUAAAGUGCUUUCAGCAGGGAAGAAGGAAGUGACGGUACCUGCAGAAGAAGCGACGGCUAAAUACG
rnacentral:rRNA from 1 species